rnacentral:piRNA from 1 species
UGCCUAUCGAACCCAUGAUAAGACGGCCACC